rnacentral:ncRNA from 1 species
GUCGUGAGACAGUUCGGUCCCUAUCCGUCGUGGGCGCAGGAAAUUUGAGAGGAGCUGUCCUUAGUACGAGAGGACCGGGAUGGACGCACCGCUGGUGUACCAGUUGUCUUGCCAAAGGCAUAGCUGGGUAGCUAUGUGCGGAAGGGAUAAGUGCUGAAAGCAUCUAAGCAUGAAGCCCCCCUCAAGAUGAGAUUUCCCUGUUACUUUGUAACGUAAGAUCCCUGAAAGAUGAUCAGGUUGAUAGGUCAGAGGUGGAAGCGCGGUGACGUGUGGAGCUGACUGAUACUAAUCGAUCGAGGACUUAACCUA